AGUGUGCGUUUCCCUAUCCUUGUGCAUGUUUUUUUGCAAGGCCGGUGGUGCAGCUACUGUCUUUGGCUUCGUGGAGAGUAAUCCAGAGGCUCUGUGCCAUAGAAUGAAUGACAAAACAUGACAAAACCUGGCCAGAUAAUUUCAAGUCAUCAGUCUCAAGUCGAGUCCCGAGUCCAAGUGAAGUCUCAAAUGAAUUUAUUUUCAAUCAAGUCGAGCCUCAAUUCAUCAAAUUUGUGACUCGAGUCAGACUCCACAACUCUGCCUACGUGUAUCCUGCCCCAUGAGGGUUAAUAACCAGGAAAAUAACCUCUCACUCAACGUCAACAAAACAAAGGAGCUGAUCGUGGACUUCAGGAAACAGCAGAGGGAGCACUCCCCUAUCCACAUCGACGGGACCGCAGUGGAGAAGGUAGAAAGCUUCAAGUUCCUCGGCGUACACAUCAAUAAUGAUCAGAAAUGGUCCAUCCACACAGACCGUGUGGUGAAGAAGGUGCAACAGCACCUCUUCAACCUCAGGAGGCUGAGAAUUUGGCUUGGCCCUUUUUAUCACCGCCUGAUACGGCAACUGCACCGCCCACAACCGAAGGGCUCUCCAGAGGAUGGUGUGGUCUGCCCAAUGCAUCACCGGGGGCAAACUACCUGCCCUCCAGGACAUCUACAGCACCCGAUGUCACAGGAAGGCCAAGAAGAUCAUCAAGAACAUCAACCACCCAAGCCACGGCCUGUUUACCCCGCUGCCAUCCAGAGGGCGAGAAACUCAAGAGGGAGCCACUAACACAGAGAAUAGUGAGGGCCUGGACAGAAGAGGCAGACUCAAUGCUGCAGGAGUGUUUUGAGAAUACUGAUUGGAAUAUGUUCAAAGAUUCAUCCAACCAGAACUCAUCCAUCAACACUGACAAAUAUACAUAGUCAGUCACAGGAUUCAUUAGGUAAUGUGUUGAGGAUGUUGUACCCACAAUAACAAUCUGGACAUACCCCAACAAAAAUUCCUGGCCAUGUCCUCAGAAGCCCCAUUUAUACCUGGUUCUAACAUACGUCCUUUGUUCUGAUCUUCUCCACAUUUAGAUAGUGCCCACAUUUUUGGGCAAGUGUAGAUGAUAAAAAGACUCAUUGUGAUCAGAUCUUUCUACCCACCUCCAGAGGUAGUCAGACACGCAUUCUAUUUGGAUAUCUUAGAAGUGUAGGCAGGUUUGGACAGUGAAACUAUUUAAAUCGUCAUUAUCCCGCCCUCUAAAAUCAUGGACAGGUGAUGCCAUUGACUUAAAGCAUCAAUGUCUUAAAAUAAAUAUUAUUUUGAAAGAAUAUCUGUCAAACAAUUGGCAUACAGGCAGGGACCAGGAUAUUUGGUCAAAAUAAUGACACUGUGGACAAAUAAAAUACAUAUUUUACUGACGUGUAGAUGCGAUGUGCACUAUCAGAAUGUGGAUAAGAUGAGGACAAAGGCAGCAUGUUAGCACCAGGUAUAAAUGAGGCUAGUGUGUUCGCUGAUCAGACAUAUUCAACCUGUCCUUGUCCCAGGCUGUAGUCCCCACUUGCUUCAAGGAUACCAUCAUCAUUCCAGCGACCAAGAAAACCAAGGACACAUUGUAGGGCAGCAUCCAAAGUGACUCUUCUUAUCAACUGUAUGCAAUCAUUUCCUGUGUUGUCUUAGGAAUUCAGCAUUCUCUGUAUUAUCUCUCCCAACCCUCCAUUGUGUCACCUCUGAGAUACAGACGUUACAUCAUGUAGGUCUGAUAUCUGAUUGGAGAUGAACUUUACAGUAAUUCUAUUGGUCAACAACUCCGUUUUUGAAUCUAAAUAACUUAGAUGCUUAUAAAAUGUUCCUUUUUUUUUAAUCCUGAACUGCUGUGGUGAGACUCACUAUUUUCUCUCUCUCCACCCCAUGGACUUUUGGGGCAUGGCCGUUCAGGUUAUGAUUUCUCUCUCUCUCUGACCAUGCUUAGAAUAAUGCCUAGUAAUGCUUGUUAAUGUCUUGUAACUUAAGCUACAAUACACUUGUAUUUAGAAUUCUGUUCUCAGACGUUUCUUCAUUGCGUAUUGCUGUAACUCAACCAUUGUCUCUUGCAUUUUGCUAAUCUUUAUGCAGUCAGAUAAACAUUUGAAUGGG